UACGGAGGGUGCAAGCGUUAUCCGGAUUCACUGGGUUUAAAGGGUGCGUAGGUGGGAAUGUAAGUCAGUGGUGAAAUCUCCGUGCUUAACAUGGAAACUGCCAUUGAUACUAUGUUUCUUGAAUUUUCUGGAGGUCAGCGGAAUAUGUCAUGUAGCGGUGAAAUGCUUAGAUAUGAUAUAGAACACCAAUUGCGAAGGCAGCUGACUACAGGGAUAUUGACACUGAGGCACGAAAGCGUGGGGAUCAAACAGG
rnacentral:rRNA from 1 species